CAAAAUGGAGAAGUGUAUGCGAGUCGGGGCCCACGACUAGUACAGACACGUUAUGAAUCAAAAUAAGGAACAUGAACUUUUAUUUAGCUUGCAUAAAGGUUAAGGCAAUGUUUAAAUAUACUAGAAUCCCCUGUAAAGAAUCAUAAUUGAUGGUUGGAAUAGAGUUAGCUACAACCAUGAAGUGCAUUUCAGUUACCUCUGUUUGCUUCUUUCUUUGUCUUUGAGCAAUUCGAAGUGUGUCAUCACAAAAUGCUAUCAUCCCUCCAAGAGGUUGGAACUCGUAUGAUGGCUUUAACUGGAUAGUUUCUGAAGAAGAAUACUUACAGAAUGCUAAUAUAGUUCUCAGCGGCUAUUUGCUCAUGAAUACGAGUAUGCUGUUGUGGAUUACCUCUGGUAUAGGAGUCUAAAGAGUGAUAGAAAUUCUCUUGGUUUUGAUAUGAUUGAUAAAUGGGGAAGAAUGCUCCCUGACCCUGAAAGAUGGCCUUCUUCAAGAGAGGGAGAGGGUUCACUGAUGUAGCUAAUAAAGUACAUAGUAAGGGUUUGAAGUUUGGGAUUCAUCUUAUGGCUGGAAUCAGUACACAGGCAUUCAAUAACAAACGAGAUUUUGCUACAUCUAAUUUAAUAGGAGGAAAAGGUUUAAAGGGUAAAUCUUGGCCUGAUUUGGACAUGCUAUCAUUUGGAUGGCUAACUGAUCCAGGUUAGCCUAAAUGCACCAGCAUUACUAUUUUUUCCUUAAUUUAUCAGGAAUUUAGGACCAAUCUAGUUAAGGUAUUCUAAACAGUUCCAAUUUACAUCCAAUGCAUAAUAAUUUUCAAAAUUAUGUUAUUGUACUACCGAGUACCAAUUGGGUUGGUUCAAUAGGGAAGGUGCAGAACACUUUAAUUGCUACUAAUGUUUACAUUUAUGUUUGACUUGUGCUGCCUUAGUCAUCGAAUGGAGUAGCAACCAUUUUCCAUAUUUUUUUCACCAAAAAAAGAAUAUGCCUUUUACUCUAUAAAUCAUUAGAAAAAACAAAAAUAUGUAUUCAGUUUCAUCCCAUAUACAUCAUACUUAUACAUAAUUGCAAUGAGCUGUUUGAAUUUGAGAUCUUUUAGUAUCAGAUAUCAAAGUGAAGAAUGAAAACAGAUUGAAUUAAUUGGUGAAUGUGCUACAAGAAAUGGUUUAUAUACAAAGGAUUCAAUCUUAGCUCAUUCAAUCUUUGAUGCAUGGACCUAUGAUCUUAUCACAAAUCCUACCCUAUAGGAGAUAAACUCUUUUAGCUCAAACAAUCAAGAGGCAUGUGAAACUUCUCUUUCUUCUUCUUGUUUUUUUCUUUUGGUAACCAUAUGUUACUUAAAUCUUAGAUUGGUAUUGUUUCUGCCUUUUUUGUUAUACAGUUUCCUCAUAUCACAAGAUUAAAUGAUGUCAAGACUAAAAGACACAAUGCCACAAAAGUACAGUUUACUUACUCCCUAGCCCUCACUGAAUGCACUGAUCCAAAAGCAUAUGGAUGGUCUAGUGAAAAACAUUACCAAGAUCUUGAAAGAAUUUAUUACAAGAGACCAAAACAUGAUCUGGUGGAACCUUUCUGCAUGCACAAAGGAAAACUCCCAAUAAUAUCGUCAAGGCAGACAUCUAUCCAAUCUGAACAUAACUCUUGUUAAUGGUCAUUCUGGCAUGUGUGCAAUAGUAGAACAUGUCCUAGCUGAAGGUUAUGCUAAUGGGAUUCGAUCUUGGAUUGCAACUGGAAGAAAAGGGGAGACCUAUGUUGCAUUUUUCAAUCUAAAUAACGAGAAAACAACAAUAUCUGCAAGCAUAGUAGACUUGGCUAUGGUGCAUCCAGGUAGAAGAAAGUUUAGACUUUGUUCUGGAAAUGAAAUGUGGAGUGGAAGAACCAUACAAACAAAUAAUAUGUUCUCAGCAGAAGUACAAGGUCAUGGAUGCGCAUUAUUUGUUCUCCAGUGCAGUAGAAUUUGCCCUAAAAUCUUAUUCGAAUAUUUAUUAUUCAUAUUUCAAGUUGCAGUGAUGUUUUGGUUUGUUUUCUGCCAAGUGGUAAAUCCUUUUUUAAUAAGGAAUCUUUUUUUUAAAGGAGUUUAGUAUAGUAAGAGUGAUUACUUUACAUGCCAUUAAGCAAUGUACGUGUUAAAAAAAUUACUUUAUGACAUGAAAAUGAAUACAAAGGUAGAUAAAGAACAAGUGUGAUUUGAAAACUUAGAUAA